GACGAACGCUGGCGGCGUGCUUAACACAUGCAAGUCGAACGGAAAGGCCCUGCUUUUGUGGGGUGCUCGAGUGGCGAACGGGUGAGUAAUACGUGAGUAACCUGCCCAUGACUUUGGGAUAACUUCAGGAAACUGGGGCUAAUACCGGAUAGGAGCUCCUGCUGCAUGGUGGGGGUUGGAAAGUUUCGGCGGUUGGGGAUGGACUCGCGGCUUAUCAGCUUGUUGGUGGGGUAGUGGCUUACCAAGGCUUUGACGGGUAGCCGGCCUGAGAGGGUGACCGGCCACAUUGGGACUGAGAUACGGCCCAGACUCCUACGGGAGGCAGCAGUGGGGAAUAUUGCACAAUGGGCGGAAGCCUGAUGCAGCAACGCCGCGUGCGGGAUGACGGCCUUCGGGUUGUAAACCGCUUUCGCCUGUGACGAAGCGUGAGUGACGGUAAUGGGUAAAGAAGCACCGGCUAACUACGUG
rnacentral:rRNA from 1 species